GUCCUAGCUGUAAACGAUGGAUACUAGGUGUUGGGAGUUAUCGACGCUCUCGGUGCCGCAGCUAACGCAUUAAGUAUCCCGCCUGGGGAGUACGGUCGCAAGACUAAAACUCAAAGGAAUUGACGGGGGCCCGCACAAGCGGUGGAGCAUGUGGCUUAAUUCGACGCAACGCGAAGAACCUUACCAGGACUUGACAUAUAUGGAAAUCCCCCUUGGAAACUUGGGGGGUUCUUCGGACGUCAUAUACAGGUGGUGCACGGUUGUCGU
rnacentral:rRNA from 1 species